rnacentral:tRNA from 1 species
CGGGGUAUGGCGCAGUUGGUAGCGCGCUUGUCUGGGGGGCAAGAGGUCGUGAGUUCAAGUCUCGCUACUCCGACCA